rnacentral:sRNA from 1 species
GGAUGUGAGGGCAAUCUGACUGCAACAUCUGUCACCCCAUUGAUCAUCAGGGUUGAUUCAACUGACCUGACUGGAUAGGCAGGUGUCCCCUUCAUCCCUCACUGAUCCGUGUGCAUCCAUCUCGAAGCUGCACACCGAAGCUACACGCUCAGUUGCUCAGUUGAAAAGGACAAUCUUCCCUGAAUAGAGGAGGAGUGGUCUUUGGCCAAGGGUAUAUGAGUAUCUGUGCCCCCUUCUCAUACCAACUUUGUGUU